CCUGCUCCUCGAGGCGUUGCAGCUCAGCUGUCAGUGCUGCUGCUGUGUCAGGAGGAGCAGACAGAGACUGGUGGUCGUCUACACUGAGAACCCCCCACCAAAGGUCUCAGAGUGAUUCUCCCACCCACAGG
rnacentral:snoRNA from 1 species